AGCCAUCUCUACGGAUACGGGGCCGCACAAUCAGCUGCUGCCGCCCUCUCCAGCGUCUACACCUCACGUGCCCUAACCGACCUGACCCUCCGGUGCCUUUCCGAGUGCGACCCUUCGACCUCCGCCACCGACGACCAUAGCCAAAGUAGCUCUAUGUAUCUGGCGACGUCGCAUUUGAUGUCCUAGUCUUCAUGGCCAUCUCCCAAUGUCGAGCCCGGCGUUCCCGGCGUGAAACGCCCCUCUGAAGUACUUUAUAAAGACUCAAAGAUGCUAAUUUGGUAUGAGGUGCAAGUUCAAUCGUCCGAAGGACAAACUGGCUGCAGAUGAUAUGUGGAUUUUUCAAGAGUUAACUGUCAUCUGGACCGAUUCCCUAUUUUAUUAUGAUAUGAUGCACUACUCUGGUUUUUGGUUGCUUCAGCAAAUGCUGAUGUUUUUGCCUUACCUGAGAGGCCUUCUGAACCCCCAUGUGCAUUUCACUUGAAAACGGGGCAAUGUAAGUUUGGUGCAACCUGCAAAUUUCAUCCCCCGAAAGAUAUCCUGAUACCAUCAGCGGAGCAAGAGAAUACAAUUAGAGAAACUGGGACAACUAUUCAGCUGGAGGGAACUGGAUUUGCUGUGAAGCCUCCUGUUUCAUUCAGCCCUGCACUAUCAUUUAACUCCAAGGAGCUUCCUGUAAGACCGGGUGAACCCGAUUGUCUAUUCUACCUAAUUGGAAGUUGCAAGUAUUGGGUCACUUGGGCACGACUUAAGAGAAAGAAAAGGCACUAUGUGACGAUCUUGUUGCUGCGUCCACCACGCACUCAGCGCAGUCGGCAAUACCUCCUGGGUGAGGAGAAGCCCACGUGGAGAAUUUUGUAAUUGGUAAUGUCCAAGUUUGUAAUCAGUGAUCUUACGGCGUGAAUUCUUUGUAAAGUACUGCAACAUAAAAAAGGGCAUUCAUUUGAUCCACCAGUACUUGGCCUCUUUUCCCGUGCAUCAAGGCCUUCAUGCGAUUUGAUAAUCAACUUGAAUUGAAAUUUAUUGAGAAAAUUCUCAGUGCAGUCAGGACCCCAAAUCAGACCAAUGCCUCUUUAUAUUUGAAGAAAAACCAGGAGUCAUUAAGGGAUCCGACCACAUCAUGUCACCAGGAACCAAGUUGGGACCUCCUCAUGGAGUAUCAAGAUAGGUCCCAACUUGAUUCUUGGUGACGUGAUGUGGUUGGAUCCUCAAUGAAUCCUGGUCUUUCUUCAAAUAUAAGAGACAUUGGUCUGAUUUGGGGUCCUGACUGCACUGAGAAUUUUCUUAAUAAAUUUCAACUCAAGUUGAUUAUUAAAUCGCAUGAAGGCCUUGAUGCAUGGUAAAAGAGGAUAUUACUGAUUACAAAAUUCUUUGCUAGCGGGAUGCGAUUUGUGAGGUUGUACCCUUAUCCUCUGUUUGGAUGAAGGAACUGAAAAUUACAUAGAAUUCUAAAAUGAUGGAAUUUUGAUCUCUA